rnacentral:rRNA from 1 species
CAGUAGCCGCGGUAAUACGUAGGUGGCAAGCGUUGUCCGGAAUUAUUGGGCGUAAAGGGCUCGCAGGCGGUUUCUUAAGUCUGAUGUGAAAGCCCCCGGCUCAACCGGGGAGGGUCAUUGGAAACUGGGAACCUUGAGUGCAGAAGAGGAGAGUGGAAUUCCACGUGUAGCGGUGAAAUGCGUAGAGAUGUGGAGGAACACCAGUGGCGAAGGCGACUCUCUGGUCUGUAACUGACGCUGAGGAGCGAAAGCGUGGGGAGCGAACAGGAUUAGAUACCCCGGUAGUCCCUGUCUCUUAUAC